AUUGAACGCUGGCGGCAUGCCUUACACAUGCAAGUCGAACGGCAGCACGGGAGCAAUCCUGGUGGCGAGUGGCGAACGGGUGAGUAAUAUAUCGGAACGUGCCCAGUCGUGGGGGAUAACGUAGCGAAAGCUACGCUAAUACCGCAUACGAUCUAUGGAUGAAAGCGGGGGAUCGCAAGACCUCGCGCGAUUGGAGCGGCCGAUAUCAGAUUAGGUAGUUGGUGAGGUAAAGGCUCACCAAGCCGACGAUCUGUAGCUGGUCUGAGAGGACGACCAGCCACACUGGGAUGGAGACACGGCCCAGACUCCUGCGGGAGGCAGCAGUGGGGAAUUUUGGACAAUGGGCGCAAGCCUGAUCCAGCAAUGCCGCGUGCAGGAUGAAGGCCUUCGGGUUGUAAACUGCUUUUGUACGGGAAGAAAAGGCCAGGGCUAACAUCCCUGGUUCUUGACGGUACUGGGAGAAUAAGCACCGGCUAACUACGUGCCAGCCGCCGCCGUAACAC
rnacentral:rRNA from 1 species